AUGUCAAGCGAAAGAAAAAAAAUUGCUCUUCUUGUAUUCUCACCUAGUGAAAAGGUAAUUUCUUUUGGUCACCCCAAUAUUGAUACAGUCAUAAAUUGUUAUCUCUCUCGAGUUCCACCCCAAAACAAUGACGUCAUGCAAUUCAUUGAGGCUCAUCAUAAAGCUAACGUGUGUGAGAUCAAUGAUCAGCUUACUAAAAUCAAUAACACACUAGAUGUUGAAAAGAAGCUUGGUGAUGAACAGAGCCAUUCGCAAAAAGAAUAUGAGGCUUAA
rnacentral:lncRNA from 1 species